GAAUUUAGCUCAGUGGUAGAGCGCUCGCCUAGCAAGCACAAGGCCCUGGGUUCGAUCCCCAGUUCA
rnacentral:tRNA from 1 species